AGAGUAUUUAAUUAUGGUUCUUCAUUCUCAUGAAAACUCUAGUACAUAGUGCUUUAGGGAGUGAGGGUAAAACCCGACAUUAGUAUAAAUAUUUAGACAACUCAAGAAAUUGCGGUCUAGGGGUUUUCGGGAUCAGUGACUAAGUAAAUGCCAGCAGUCGCGGUUAUAUUUAUACCUUUUGAGAAUGAAAUCAGUUAGGUUAGACAGCCCUUUAUUGGCAAAUAUUUUAGUUAUGUGAGAGGUGUAAUUUUGUAUAACAGGUAGCCUAUUCUUGUCUCAUUUGUUCUUACGUAAGCGUAAGUGUAGACUGGGAUUAGAGACCCCAUUAUUUGCGAAGUAAAAUCAAAAAUACUUGGUCACUAAAAGUUUGUUCUUAAAAGUUAAAUAAUUAGGCGGUUCUCAAUAAACAAACAGGGGAAUCUGGGGGUUUAAAGAUGGUCCACUUAGAUUUUGCCCUGCUUUUAUUGCGUGUGUAUGGUUGUUUUAAACUAAUAUAUAAAAAUAUUGGUAAUACGCUAGAAUUAGCGGAAAUUCAGAUUUACAUGCAGCUAUAAAUAGGUUACCCUGGAUGACAUUUGGUAACACAAAUCUGAUGCGUUAGGUGAAACCCUAGGUUGAUGGAGGACUUGUUAGUAAGUUGAAUUACAUUAUAAAUUUGUUGAAUUGGACACUGAGGGAGUACUAAUCGCCCGUCGCUCACGGGUUAAUCCGAGAUAAGUCGUAACAAGGUAAUGAUACUGGAAAGUGUUGUUAGAU
rnacentral:ncRNA from 1 species